CCCCACCGGACACCGGAUACAACGCCUUCUCCAGCCCCGCAACCUGAUUCGGCAUCACGAGCAUCUCCAAGCUAAUUGGUUGGCGGGCGGUGGCAGAGAGGCACUCAGGGCUCUAGGUUCUUCAAAGAAGAAAGUGAAGCGCCGAAUUUCAGAGCUUUCCGCUUCCAUGGCCCUCGCAAUCCUCUCUCUCUCUCUCUCUCUUCACUUCGUUUGCACUAAAACCCCAGUUCUCAAUCCCAAGCUAUUGAUCUAGCGACGAUGGCAAAAUCAAUGAAGACGAAGGAGUAUGACAUGAAGAAGAUGGAGUCUUUUGGUUGCUCUGAUGCCCUACCCUUAGUUCUCUAUUCCAAGCUGUUGAUGGAACAAAGAAGGAAAGUUCGAUGACGAUGCAGCUGGAUUCUCAUAUUUUCAACCUCCGCUCUAAAGUCUUGCAGAUCCGGCCUGGCUUGUGGGGGAUCCGGGAAAGCUUUGAUUCGAAGCCAGAGGUGACCAUGGAGUGACCAAAUUAGUGGUUUUCUUUAGGGUUUGUUUAGUUUUUUUUUUUCAUGUUUGGGAUUUUUAGGGGGCUUGUUUUUAAUUUGUUGAUGAAUUGUUUAAAGUUUGGAUGAUAAGGAGUCAAGAACAAUUAACAAAGGAGUAAUUGUUUGUAAUAUUUUAUUUUGGGUGAUA